GGUCCAGGGCGGCAUCCAGCUGACCCAUUGGCUUCCCGCAGGAUGCCCUGCACACGUUCCCACAGCUGCAAGUGGAGCAGAGUGAGGAGGGUUCCCCGGAAGAGGGGGCUGUGCGGCUGCGGCCGGCCGGGGAACCAUACAACCGCAAGACGCUCAGCAAGCUCAAGAGGAGCGUGGUCAGAGCCCAGGAGUUCAAGGUCGAGCUGGAAAAGUCGGGAUACUAUACGCUCUACCAUUCACUCCACCACUAUAAAUACCACACCUUCCUGCGCUGCCGGGACCAGACCCUGGCCAUCGAGGGCGGCGCCGAGGACCUGGGCCAGGAGGAGGUGGUCCAGCAGUGCAUGCGGAACCAGCCGUGGCUGGAACAGCUCUUUGAUUCCUUCAGUGACCUGCUGGCCCAAGCACAGGCCCACAGCCGCUGUGGGUGACCCCGCCCCAGCCUGUGAUGGGGGCGCCUCCUCCAUGAACCAAGAAUUGGGACAGAACCGUGUCCUCAGGAGCUAACCCCUGGGCUCCAUCGUCGGGGAAAGGGGGUCACGGGUCAGGGUGUGUCUAUGCUGCCCCCUCCAGGGCAGGGUUCAGAGUCCGACUCCCCCCCUCUCCCGAGCCCCCUCCACUCCCUCCCCAUUCCUCCCACUGUUCGGUGUACAGAGAAAUUAUUUAUAUAUAUGUAUAAAUGUCUAUUUAGUAACGGUUUCCCUCUCCCCUUGCCCCGACCCCUCCUCCACAGCCACAGCCCCCGCCCCCUCCACCUUGUACAUAAUGUAUAGGAAAAGUCUAUGUAUGACUGGCGGGGGUGGGGUGGCUUCAGAGAGCUGGGGGACCCCUUCCCCCCAAGUCCCCCUGCAGGCCGAGAUCUUUGCUAAAGGCCAUUCCCUCCCCAGGGCAUUUGGCGUCGGGUGGGAGGGGAAAACGCAUCUUGUUAAUUAUUUUUAAUCUUAUUUAUUGUACAUACCUGGGGCAGGGGGCUGGGGAGGUGGAGAGGGGAGAAGGGUCCCCUCUCUCUGCCCCCCCACUCCUUUUCUACGGCGAUUUGUCUGUGUCUGGCCCCCACCCGCUGCCCCCCCCAUUGUUGUCUGGAUGUGGUUCUAUUUUUUAUCGGUCUCCUUUCCCCUCCUCCCUGUUCUCGCCCCCUCCACCCCGCCCCUGCUCCCACCACCCUUUGUCUCUUGCUCUUUCUUGGGCUUCUGUACAACUCAACUUGUAUACACUGUGUACACACAACCAGCCAAACGAAAACCCAACGGCAAACACUUUA